rnacentral:tRNA from 1 species
UCCUGGUGGCUCAGCAGUAAAGAGUCUGCCUGCAAUGCAGAAGACCUAGGUUCAACCCCUGGGUUAGGAA